UCCCCGUUCCAGCGCGCCCUGCGGCAGCAAGGCGCUCAUUGGCUGUCGGGGCGGCGCGGGGCCUGAUGGGAGCGCAGCCACGGCGCCUCGGCCCCUCCUUCGGCGGGCGGCGGCGGGAUGCGCGGCCGGGCCCGCGGCAGCUGUGAAUUCCUGUAGAAGACUGAUAGCUCUGCCAACAUUUGUCCACAAUAGAAGAUGGGUGGAUUAAUUUCAAGAUGGAGGCAGGCAAAACCUUCCACCAUAGAAGUAUUAGAAAAACUUGAUAAGGAAAUACAGGCAUUAGAAGAAUUCAGAGAAAAAAAUCAGAGACUGCAGAAACUAUGGGUUGGAAGGCUCCUUCUCUACUCUUCACUUCUUUACCUUAUCACCUGCUUAAUUGUAUAUUUGUGGUAUCUUCCUGAUGAAUGGACUGCAAGGUUGAUUAUGACACUUCCAUUUUUUGCAUUUCCAUUGAUAAUCUGGUGUAUAAGAACACUGCUCAUUUUUUUCUUUUCCAAAAGGACAAAAAGGAAUAAUGAUGAACUGGAAGAUUUGAAGUCUCAAAAGAAAAAAAUACUUGAGGAAGUAAUGGAGAAGGAAACGUACAAGACUGCGAAAUUAAUCCUGGAAAGGUUUGAUCCUGAAUCAAGUGCAAAAGAGGCUGAACUACCAUCUGCUGGAACAUCUGCAACCUCAAGACCUGGACAAGAAAUUCGUCAGAGGACCACAGCUCAAAGAAAUGCUUCUCCGCCCCCGCCUGUGACUCCUAAGCAAGACUCUGCAAAAUCUGUGGUUCCAGCAUCUCCCAAUCUGCAGAGAGACACCUCAGCUCUGAGUGGACCCCCAGAAAGAAUUGUUGUACCAUCCUUGCAGUCAAAUGUUUUACCAAGACACCCUGGAUCCCCUGCUACUUCAGUGCCUGGAAUGGGUCUUCAUCCUCCAGGCCCUCCUUUAGCAAGACCUAUUCUUCCUCGAGAAAGAGGAAUUGUGGAUAGAGUUAUUGAAUAUUUGGUUGGUGAUGGUCCUCAGAACAGGUAUGCCCUUAUAUGUCAGCAAUGUUUUUCUCACAAUGGCAUGGCUUUGAAGGAGGAGUUUGAAUACAUAGCAUUUAGAUGUGCCUACUGCUUUUUCCUGAAUCCUGCAAGAAAAACUAGACCUCAGGCUCCACGACUUCCAGACUUCAGCUUUGAAAAAAAGCAAUUUGCAGAACUGCGACCUGAAACGGAUCCUCCAGAACCUAAAGAGAAAAAUCCCCAGGAAACUCAACAGACAGAAGAAUCUGAAGAAGACACGGCCCAGGUCAUUGAGACAAGUGAGACAGAUGAUAAAGCACAAAGUCAUGAGCAGCUAAAUGAUAAGGUAGCUGAAGAAGUUGAAGAAGCAGAAAACCUUUCAACAACCGAAGACUCUAUUUCAGAGUCUAUCUCAGCUGAACAAAGUGAAGAAUCUUCAGUGAAAACAGAAUAAAGUACUUCAAGUGCCUUCUGUAGCUAGUUUUCAGCUUUGUUCAUGCCUGUUGUUACUAUUCAGAGAUGCUGGAUUUGUAGAAAACUCAAGGAACAAAGACCUUCCAGCUCUCCUGAAAUGGUCUGCCCUCUAAUUCCUUGCAUCGCUUCAAGGAGCUCUACUCAGUUGAUGAAACUUGAUUUUGACUUGUUCAGCACACAAAGAAAACCAUUUUACAAAAAAAAAACCAUGAAAAUUCAUUUUAAGAAAAGUAUUUUAAAUGAUGUUUUAGAAGAAAUAUGAAAGUUGAUAAUUCUUGAGGAAUGUUUGAACUUGUAUAUUUUGUAUAUUGAGCUUCUAUUUAAACAGGAGAUCCCAUAUAUUUAUAGUUUAAGUUCUUACUGUUGUAAUAAUUGCCUUGUUGUUGCAUUAGUAAAAGGCAUGUGUGUUUAUGUACUGUAAGCAGUAUGUUCAAUCAGAGGUAUCAUUUUAAUCCUAGCUGUGGCAUUGACCAGUAGUUAUAUCACCUGCAAUUGGAAGUCCAUUAAAAUCAAUGCAAAGACAUUAAUUAGUAUGAAUUUUUAGGGUCUAGUAGACUUCAUGAAAUGUCUGUCUUAGAUUUUCUGCUUGUAAUGGAGAAAAUAUUUAAACUUGUGCUUCUCUUUUCAAAUACAGUGUUUUACCAAAUGGAACAAAUGUUAAAGAGUAUGAAAUUAUAUAGGUUGUUGUUUGAAUAUAUGCUGCUUUUGCUGUGUAUGUAACUUCUUGAGGAAAAACCCGAUUCUGAAAAAGCUAUUGAAUAUUCAUCUGAUCUGAAUUAUGAUGAUGGCUGGGGUAAGAGUCAGGCUGCUCUUUACAUAGCAGUGAUUUACAGUUUUAAAGUGAUAAUUUGAUUAGUAGUUCAUUCUGUGCUGGCUGUACUCAGUCAAGUUGGAUUGCAUAGGUUUGUUUGUUUGUUUUAAAAGGAGCACAUAUGUUACUAAAACAAAGCUGAGGGUGCCCCAGCUUCUUCAGUGCAGCCCCUGCUCCCCAGCUGGCUGGCAUAUGUAGGAAAAGAACGUUGUUCAAGGUUGAGUAGGUUCUGAUAAGACCCAUUUAUCUGUGCUACAGCCAGUUGUGAGAGCUGCUGGCGCGAGCAGCCAGCUGCCCACCCGCAAAGGGCAGCCUGGCAUGCGGCUGCAGAGCUCUGUGCGCAGUGAAGUGGAGGCGUGGAAAACCCGCCUUGGCUCAGUAUAAAAAAUCGUGUGGCAACUUCAGAGGGGACUGGGGAGUUCUGAAGAUGCCAAUUUUUGACCUGCCAUUCUGCAGACAUGUACAUUUCAGGGUGGGUAUUGCAGGUUUUAUUGUAUCUAAAUGGUGAUUUAUGUCCUUAUUCCUGCAUUAUUGUCCACAAGGUACUGCCCUAUGUCACAAGCCUGUACUACCUAAUUUUUUCAGACUGUUUCAUUUUCAUUAGUACAGCUGCUUUAGCUUGUGAUCAGUGUACUGCACCUCAUUGAUAAUCUAAGAGACUAUCAGACGCACGCAAGUGACACCUAACCCUGUCAGUCUGGCUUGAUUGACCCCUCAGCUUCCGAAACAUGGGUUCAUUUUUUUUUAAAACCCGAGCUAGCCCGACAUCCAUUUUCACACAUAUUCUGGGCAGUUUAAAGGUUGGUCAGAAUUGAAUAUUGCUCUUUCAAAUUUGAUAAUGUAUGAGUACAGAACUGUGACCUUUGAUACGUAGUAAUACAUCAACAUGACAUGAGCAGUAAGUGCAGCAAUUACCUUUACUACACUCGAGAUUGUGUUUUAGUUCUCAUCUUGUAAGCAAUUAUUUCAGGAAAAAAAGGAUGCCUAUAAGUUAAAUAUACUUUGAAAAUAGUGUAAAUGCAGAAAUUAAUCUUUGGGGAUUUUUUGAUUUACAGGUGAAUAUUUUUCAGAUGAAUCGUGGUUUUUAAAUUAACAUUGCUUCGGUGCUAGAAAAGUGGCUUUUUUUACAGUACUUUUUUCUGGGAGAGUUUCUUUAACCCUUUUUGUUGUGUUCUAAUGUAAUCUAAGUUUCAUAUUCUGAUUUAUAGCUAAAGUCUGAUCCUUCAAGCAGUUGAUGUGUCACUGUGUUCGUGUUGCUCCCAUGGUAAUACUUGUAAGAGUUGAUUACAUGCAUGAUAAUAAUGUAAGUUUACCUCCUUUUAAGUGCCUUUCAGAAUGUACGAGAGUAUCUCAGACCUGCACCAUGUGUUGAUUUAAAAGGCUGUUUUAGCUGCUUCAGCAAUGUUUCAUCUUUUCCUGAGCAGAUCAAGAUACCUUUGGUUUAGUUUCCAAGCCUUUUUCCUCACCUGUUAUAAAUUAUUUGGGUAAUGAUAGUGCACAACCACUACCUGGUAGGUGCUAUAAAAACACAAAUCAAUACUCCUUGCCAAAGAGCAUAAAGCCUCAAGAGGAGUGAUAGCAGCUGUGGCUUCUCUUCUGUGGACUAAAAAUCAGAAUAAAAUUACUGUGUCAUUCUGAGCAAGCAACUGAGUAACCAUUGAAUGGUGACUUUCUAUCAGUGCUGUAUGUCACAGCCAAAACUCAAACGAAUAACUUGAAUUAGAACUUCUAAAAUGUCCACUUCCUUGGCUGCUGAGUGCGGAGUGGUGUUGGUUUGCUGGAGUUAGGCACUGAACUUUAACUCAGGAGCUGGGAAAAUGCUUAAUUUGUUUUAUGUUGAGGUGAAAUCAACACCUUUUGGAAUGCUUUUCUGUAAGCUGUUAAAAAUUUGAACGCCUAGUGCCCGAUAAUGUUGGGCUGUACUGGGACGCUAGUGCGGGAGGCAGAUGUGGGCUGGGAACUAAAUGGAGCGCAUCUCUUCCAAAUCUGCCAUGGGAAGAGAGGUGAGUGUGUUCUGUACAGUAGCUUUCUCUUUCUGACUUGUUGCUCUGAAGAUCGCUCCUUUGCAGUACAUACACAGUAGCUGUAGAUUGCUAAUAAGCCUGGGAACUUUUGUGAUGAAAGUUUCAUCAAAAUGAGUCUCUCAGACAGAUUUUCUCACUACUUUUCUAGCAACAGUUAGAACAUUCUUGACUCUCUGUGGUGUCAUUUGUUCUCUGGGUGGAAAAGCAAAGCAAGUAUGUUAAAUCAUCACAUAAAUUACUCUUAAUCAAGCUCUUGGCAAUACAAACUAUUAUGCAAAGCCACAAGGCUUUAGGGGCAUGGUUUAGUGCUGGAGUUAGGUUAUGAUUGGACUUGAUGAUCCUGAGGGUCUCUUCCAACCAAAAUGAUUCUAUGAAAUGGUUCUAAAAAGGCACUGCCUGAGGAUAUUGUGCAAGCAUGGUUUUGUGCUGUUCCAUGUUGCUUUCAGUGUGCGCCAUGUAAGGGCACUUGGGCUCUUAACUACUUAAAAACAAAACAAAACAAAAACACCCUCAAGCUUUUUUUCAUGUUUUCCUUAAAUUUUAGAUGUUAAUAGUAUUAACUUAGUUUGGACAAAAUACCCGACUUACUUUUGUGUAGCGUUUUCCAUUAAAAAGUGUAAAUAGCAUGUGUAUGGAAAUCUUGAGUCGUGCUGCUGACUUAGUAGAUGAAGGUGGUUACAACAGCUCAAUGUGGAAGUUUGUUUUUCAACUGGGGCUCUGUGGUUGUGGGAAGUUCCUUGUGGUGCAAGAUGCCCUUGUGCAGGUAGGUGACUCCAUGGGUAAAGUGCAUUUGUUACUGUGCUACAAGUAGCAACAGCAAAACAAGGGCAAAUGCUGCGGUGUUGCAUGUCAGUAUUUGUUGAUUGGCAUUUGCUCAUGCUGCAUUUAUUACUCCUGGUAACGACUUAGGCAUCUUUAGUUCUUCUCUGUGUUGUGUAUUACUAACCAAUUUUUUAAAGAACUGACAACACUGGUAUUCCCCAACAGUAGAAUCCCUCUUACAGCAUCUGGAAAAUAUUUCCUAUCUCUUGUGUUUCAGAGAAGGGAGUAAAGGUAAUAUUUUUUUUCCACCAUUCCUACUACAGCAAUAUGACUAGAAGUAUUUCUUUUUCCAAAAUGCAAGGAUUUUUGUUAGUUUCAGCUGUUUGGCUACACCUGUGUGUUGCUGGGGCUUUUUUAAAGAAAUGGUGAAUGGCAGCUGGGUUGCAGAAUGUAUUUUCAUUUUGAGGCUUAUCUUAAAACUUUCUGGUUUGCAAUGGUGUGAUCCUCCUGGAAAGAGUUUGUUAGAUUAUUGAACAAAUGGUGGGAAGCUGAAAUUUAGGGACACUUAAUGGAAAGUGCUGGAUUGUAUGCAACUUAUUGUGAAUACUCCUGAUAUAUUAUAAGGCGUUAUGUUCAUCUAGUCGUGAUCUAUUUGAUUUUAAAAUCUCAGAUUGUGUUAUGAGUAAGUGUAAUGGUUCUGAGAGCUGGAAUGUUGUUAGCCAUUGUGAACAGUACUGAAGGUAUCUCAGGAUGUAUAAUGUGAUAGAUGCAAUUUGGUUUGAUUUUUUUUUUCCAAGGCCAAUUUAAUUUUGAUUUAUUUGCCUCAUUAACCCAAGGAUUCAGAAAAUUGAAUGCCACCUGAGUGAGGUAUUAUUAACACUAGUGAAAUAUCUUCAGAAUCGCUCUGUGCUUAUAAAUUGAUCUUUUGAAAGCAUUUUAAAGGCAUAAUGAUACUAUGGUGAAAAUGUACAGCACCAUUUAAAAAUUGCAAAAUGCUUAUUUGAUUUCUGAAAAUAAGACUUGGUCACCUGACUGAAAUGUAUACUGAUCUAUUAUUUAUGCUUUGAAAAUAGAGCUGAUAAAAAGCAUAAGUGUUCUUGAUAUUAUAUUUUGUCAUAUCUAGCUAAAAAGAUUGAAAUCCGGAGAAACAAUUUUCUGCAGAAAUGAAGUAGUAUGCCCUCCUGAACCCCUGGGGAAAAUAGCCUCUCUGUUUGCUCAGAAUAUGAAGCAGUAAAACAGUAUAAGUAAAACAGACAGCCCAUGUCACAUUCCUAUUUGUACAGUCUGGAAUGAUGUUUUAAAAACAUUUUCUAGUUAUUUUUGAUAAAUAAAUGGUGCAAAUAACAUCUGCAAACCAACCCUGCUGAUGUAAGAUUUUUCAGAUCAGAUUUGUUUGUCAGUGAAAGUCAGAAAAUUGCUUUGCAAAACUAAAGUUGUAUAACUCCCAAAAAUAUGCAUAAGAAAUGUACAAGAAUAUAUCUUGCUCUUCUUUUGUCUUCCCUCAAAGAAACUAAUGCUGAUCUCGCUUAUCUUUGCUGCUGGGCUCAGAGUGUAGCUUGAUAAAAUUAUCAAAAAGCUCAGUUGCUAAAAACAGAUGUGUUAUAAGGUGUUAAAUAGCUCAAGUGGUGCAUCCAGCUACCCUACCCUACCCUUUUGGAACAGUGGAUCUUUCUUAAGGCCUUGAGAUUUCUGCCUGAGCUAUUAGUGCCACACAAAACUAAACAUGGGGGUUGUAGGAGCCUUCCACGAGUGACACCCCUGUGGUUGAGGGGUGCAAAGGCAGUGGGUGCGUUGCCUGGCUGCAGCUGUCUGCAGGUUCUGCCAAAGGCCGGUGCACUGAGGAUGAAGGGACGUUCCUCCAACUCUUGUGGCCUCCAGAAGCGCACUAUUCAGUGUAAGAAUGCUGGCUCCACUCUGAUUUCCUUCACUGAUAUAAAAGCUGAAGUGGAAGAACUGUCCCUGGGCAGCAGGGUUGAGAAGUCUGAGGUCACAGCUCCACGAAUGCCCUGUUGCCCAGGACUGGCCUAAGAAGCGUGUGUGUGUGUACAUCUCCCAAAACAUGGCUUGUCAAGGGAGUGGGCUUUCAGCUGCAUUUGAGGAGUGUAUGUCUUCAAGGCUCUCUUGUUUUUCUUUGGACUUCUGUGCUCCACAGAGUUGGUUAAAACCAACUUUAAUGCUAUUUUUGUAAGGAUUCUCAGUCAAUGGAUCCCAUCUCAGGCUAAAUUCUGUGGUAUAUCCACAGAGUACGAGAUGAACACAUUUUGUAAAUAUGUAUGUGUUUAACAGCACCAAAAAAAAUAAAAUUGGUUUUAUUUUUCA